rnacentral:tRNA from 1 species
GCGCCGGUCGCCUCCAGCACCUUGGCGAUCGAUUCCGUCGAGGGCCAGCGCGGCCGCUCGCCGGCGAAGCGCUUCGAUUUGUUGAAGGUCGUCGGAUCGAGCCCGGCCCGGCGCGCCA